GUAGGUUAUUGAGGACAUGUCUAUACAAGUCAAUGUACCUGCUCUAGCAAUGGAAGAGGUUGCUCCAUUGGUCGUCUCAGAUGCGGCUAUGCUUGCCCCUGAGGAGAUUUUUCAUGGAAAAGGAAACAUCAAAGAAGAGGCAGAGUUAACAAAAGAAGAGAGGAAAAGGAGACGGGCCAACCAGAAAAGAAGAUUUAGAAGAUUGAAAGGUGUCCUCAAGAGUAUUGGGAAG